CAGAGUUGAUCAUGGCUCAGGAUGAACGCUGGCGGCGUGCUUAACACAUGCAAGUCGAACGAAGCACUUUAUUACAAUUUCUUCGGAAUGACGAUUAGUGACUGAGUGGCGGACGGGUGAGUAACGCGUGGGUAACCUGCCUUAUACAGGGGGAUAACAGUUAGAAAUGACUGCUAAUACCGCAUAAGCGCACAGGAUUGCAUGAUCUGGUGUGAAAAACUCCGGUGGUAUAAGAUGGA
rnacentral:rRNA from 1 species